rnacentral:rRNA from 1 species
UCGUCACACUAUCAUUAACUGAAUCCAUAGGUUAAUGAGGCGAACCGGGGGAACUGAAACAUCUAAGUACCCCGAGGAAAAGAAAUCAACCGAGAUUCCCCCAGUAGCGGCGAGCGAACGGGGAGGAGCCCAGAGCCUGAAUCAGCAUGUGUGUUAGUGGAAGCGUCUGGAAAGGCGCGCGAUACAGGGUGACAGCCCCGUACACAAAAGCGCAUGUGUUGUGAGCUCGAUGAGUAGGGCGGGACACGUGGUAUCCUGUCUGAAUAUGGGGGGACCAUCCUCCAAGGCUAAAUACUCCUGACUGACCGAUAGUGAACCAGUACCGUGAGGGAAAGGCGAAAAGAACCCCGGCGAGGGGAGUGAAAAAGAACCUGAAACCGUGUACGUACAAGCAGUGGGAGCACCCUUUUGGGUGUGACUGCGUACCUUUUGUAUAAUGGGUCAGCGACUUAUAUUCUGUAGCAAGGUUAACCGAAUAGGGGAGCCGGAGGGAAACCGAGUCUUAAUUGGGCGUUAAGUUGCAGGGUAUAGACCCGAAACCCGGUGAUCUAGCCAUGGGCAGGUUGAAGGUUGGGUAACACUAACUGGAGGACCGAACCGACUAAUGUUGAAAAAUUAGCGGAUGACCUGUGGCUGGGGGUGAAAGGCCAAUCAAACCGGGAGAUAGCUGGUUCUCCCCGAAAGCUAUUUAGGUAGCGCCUCGUGAAUUCAUCUCCGGGGGUAGAGCACUGUUUCGGCUAGGGGGCCAUCCCGGCUUACCAACCCGAUGCAAACUGCGAAUACCGGAGAAUGUUAUCACGGGAGACACACGGCGGGUGCUAACGUCCGUCGUGAAGAGGGAAACAACCCAGACCGCCAGCUAAGGUCCCAAAGUCAUGGUUAAGUGGGAAACGAUGUGGGAAGGCCCAGACAGCCAGGAUGUUGGCUUAGAAGCAGCCAUCAUUUAAAGAAAGCGUAAUAGCUCACUGGUCGAGUCGGCCUGCGCGGAAGAUGUAACGGGGCUAAACCAUGCACCGAAGCUGCGGCAGCGACGCUCAGGCGUUGUUGGGUAGGGGAGCGUUCUGUAAGCCUGUGAAGGUGGCCUGUGAGGGUUGCUGGAGGUAUCAGAAGUGCGAAUGCUGACAUAAGUAACGAUAAAGCGGGUGAAAAGCCCGCUCGCCGGAAGACCAAGGGUUCCUGUCCAACGUUAAUCGGGGCAGGGUGAGUCGACCCCUAAGGCGAGGCCGAAAGGCGUAGUCGAUGGGAAACGGGUUAAUAUUCCCGUACUUGGUGUUACUGCGAAGGGGGGACGGAGAAGGCUAUGUUGGCCGGGCGACGGUUGUCCCGGUUUAAGCGUGUAGGUGUGUGUUCCAGGUAAAUCCGGUUCACUUUAACACUGAGGCGUGACGACGAGGCACUACGGUGCUGAAGCAACAAAUGCCCUGCUUCCAGGAAAAGCCUCUAAGCAUCAGGUAACAUCAAAUCGUACCCCAAACCGACACAGGUGGUCAGGUAGAGAAUACCAAGGCGCUUGAGAGAACUCGGGUGAAGGAACUAGGCAAAAUGGUGCCGUAACUUCGGGAGAAGGCACGCUGACACGUAGGUGAAGUGAUUUACUCAUGGAGCUGAAGUCAGUCGAAGAUACCAGCUGGCUGCAACUGUUUAUUAAAAACACAGCACUGUGCAAACACGAAAGUGGACGUAUACGGUGUGACGCCUGCCCGGUGCCGGAAGGUUAAUUGAUGGGGUCAGCGCAAGCGAAGCUCCUGAUCGAAGCCCCGGUAAACGGCGGCCGUAACUAUAACGGUCCUAAGGUAGCGAAAUUCCUUGUCGGGUAAGUUCCGACCUGCACGAAUGGCGUAAUGAUGGCCAGGCUGUCUCCACCCGAGACUCAGUGAAAUUGAACUCGCUGUGAAGAUGCAGUGUACCCGCGGCAAGACGGAAAGACCCCGUGAACCUUUACUAUAGCUUGACACUGAACAUUGAGCCUUGAUGUGUAGGAUAGGUGGGAGGCUUUGAAGCGUGGACGCCAGUCUGCGUGGAGCCGACCUUGAAAUACCACCCUUUAAUGUUUGAUGUUCUAACGUGGACCCGUUACCCGGGUUGCGGACAGUGUCUGGUGGGUAGUUUGACUGGGGCGGUCUCCUCCUAAAGAGUAACGGAGGAGCACGAAGGUUGGCUAAUCCUGGUCGGACAUCAGGAGGUUAGUGCAAUGGCAUAAGCCAGCUUGACUGCGAGCGUGACGGCGCGAGCAGGUGCGAAAGCAGGUCAUAGUGAUCCGGUGGUUCUGAAUGGAAGGGCCAUCGCUCAACGGAUAAAAGGUACUCCGGGGAUAACAGGCUGAUACCGCCCAAGAGUUCAUAUCGACGGCGGUGUUUGGCACCUCGAUGUCGGCUCAUCACAUCCUGGGGCUGAAGUAGGUCCCAAGGGUAUGGCUGUUCGCCAUUUAAAGUGGUACGCGAGCUGGGUUUAGAACGUCGUGAGACAGUUCGGUCCCUAUCUGCCGUGGGCGCUGGAGAACUGAGGGGGGCUGCUCCUAGUACGAGAGGACCGGAGUGGACGCAUCACUGGUGUUCGGGUUGUCAUGCCAAUGGCACUGCCCGGUAGCUAAAUGCGGAAGAGAUAAGUGCUGAAAGCAUCUAAGCACGAAACUUGCCCCGAGAUGAGUUCUCCCUGAGACUUAGAGUCUCCUGAAGGAACGUUGAAGACGACGACGUUGAUAGGCCGGGUGUGUAAGCGCAGCGAUGCGUUGAGCUAACCGGUACU